CCUCGAUGUCGGCUCAUCACAUCCUGGGGCUGAAGUAGGUCCCAAGGGUAUGGCUGUUCGCCAUUUAAAGUGGUACGCGAGCUGGGUUUAGAACGUCGUGAGACAGUUCGGUCCCUAUCUGCCGUGGGCGCUGGAGAACUGAGGGGGGCUGCUCCUAGUACGAGAGGACCGGAGUGGACGCAUCACUGGUGUUCGGGUUGUCAUGCCAAUGGCACUGCCCGGUAGCUAAAUGCGGAAGAGAUAAGUGCUGAAAGCAUCUAAGCACGAAACUUGCCCCGAGAUGAGUUCUCCCUGAGACUUAGAGUCUCCUGAAGGAACGUUGAAGACGACGACGUUGAUAGGCCGGGUGUGUAAGCGCAGCGAUGCGUUGAGCUAACCGGUACUAAUGAACCGUGAGGCUUAACCUUACAACGCCGAAG
rnacentral:rRNA from 1 species